UACAUAUUGGGCCUCGGGAAAGCCUGUUUAGGCUAUCCCGUUUAAGCGAGGAAAUAUUUUAUUUUCUUUUAUUUUUCUCUUUUCUUUUAUUAUUCUCCGUUUUCCUUUUUCUCCCGCAUGCCCGAGCCAUCCCCGAACGUCCGAUCCUUGCCCUAACCGGCGGUGGUUUCCUUCUCCCUCACAUACAAAGUCGUGGCCGAGGGAUGUGCAUCUCCUUUCCCUUCACUCUUCUUCAACACCGAUCCUCUUCUUCCCCUUCCUCUCCGAUCGACGUCGGCCAUGCCUUCUCCACCCGACGGUGCCGCACACCUGACGCCACUGCCGCCUCCCUUCCUCCACUCGACGCCGAUCGUCGACCCCUCUCUGUGCUCAUGCCCUAGCUUCCCGACGCCGAUUUCUUUCUCUCUGUCGAGGUUGCGUCACUGCGUCCACUGUGGGCUCACACCCGACACCGCCGAGUUCACCUUUUCUUCAUCGCGCUACUGCCUCCUCUCGGUCGAUCCACCUCUACUGGCAUCCGAGCCCUCUUUCCAGAGGUGCCCUAGCCCUGAUCUGCCGGUCACUUCUGAGUGAGGAUCCUGAUUCCUCUUCCUCAUGAUCUUCUCCACAGUUUGAUCAUAUCUGGAUCUAGACAUUGGCCAUGUGGUCGACGUCGUUGAUGUUGUCUCCAGCCGAUCACUGCUGGCAACAGUAAGGCACUACCGGAGAGGAAGGAGGUCAAGUUAGCAGCAUCUCCUUUCCGGUAGCAAACUUUUCGGUUGUGAAUUGAGGAUUUUGACUUGAGAUGGUGUCUCGACGAGGGAUCUAUUUCAGAUAUGAUCCUAUUAUUGGAGGCGGGUACCUUGACUUAUUUUUUAGAUUUGUCAUUUGAUGUGCAUAGUAGUUUUCAACAAAUAGUAAUGCUUAUGUUUUAUAUCUGCAUCGGUAUAUCAUUAUCCAUUACCUGUGCAUGUUUUGAUUAUUACCUGUAUUAGCAUUCAUGUUUAUAUCCUUCAUAUUACUAGUGAUCAUAGAGGUAAUGACAUACCAUGCCUUUUGAUAUACCAGACUAGGUUUUUAUAUCAUACUUGACCUGUGUAUCCUAGAUCUUCGUAUUUGACCCAUUGAUAUUAGGGUACAC